UGAGCAAUCUGCCCCUCUCAUCGGAAUAAGCGUUGGAAACGACGUCUAAUGCCGAAUACGACCUCCUUUCACAUGAUCGGAGGUGGAAAGCUCCGGCGGAGAAGGAUGAGCUCGCGGCCUAUCAGCUAGUUGGUGUGGGUAACGGCCCACCAAGGCGACGACGGGUAGCCGGCCUGAGAGGGUGGCCGGCCACACUGGGACUGAGACACGGCCCAGACCUCCGUACGGGAGGNAG
rnacentral:rRNA from 1 species